GAGAAGGCGGUGGGUGGGGAAGUGUGUGUGGCUUUCGGGCCAGGCCUCCAGCUUUAGGAUCCAGGAAGGGCAGCUCCGCACUUGUCAACCCACACAUGUGUGCAGAGGCCGCCGUGCACGAGGCGCAGGCCGGCCUUUUGUGCCAGAGAAAUAGUCCACUUCACUGGCAGGGUUGGGGGUUGCCGAGGGAUUAUGUGUGUCUGUGAGCCUAAGGGGGGUUGGUUAGGAAGAUUUAGGGCGUUGUACAAAUGCCAAAGCCAAUUUAUUUUGCAAUGCGCUGGGUAGCCUUCUGGAGUAGCUGAGAAGAAAGGACAUUUGAUAAUAUAAUCUUUAUGACCUGAAAAUUUCAUUUUAAUUGGGAAGGCCAAAAGCAGUGUUUAAGGUCUUUGCCCUGACAUUGCCCUAUAGUAAGGCGUUUAGGAUUAAAUUUGCUAGCAAAAUAGAAAUGCUUAGAAUCAGUUUCUUUUUGCAUGGGGUACUUAAAAAAAAAAAAAAAAUCUCAGCUUCCCAAAGCCUUUUUUGUGGUGAUAAAGGGAAUUUAGAGAAGGCAAACGUUUUUGUAAAUCCACAAAGAAUAGCUGCUUUGGAAAUUCAUAAGAUGCCUGUGGGAAAGCGUUUCUCUCCUGUGCAUGGUGGUAAAAUGGCAGUUAAACUGGAAACAAUGAAGGACAGUGAAAUUCAAUAUUCUAUAUUCUGGCAUUCAGCAGUGGGCUAUCGUGGCAGGGCUGCAAGUACAGUGCAUCGUGUUGAAAUGGGGGGAGAGGAACUUGACCCGUUAGUUAUGAAAAGAAGCUGUGAUGAAAGAGACAGAUGGGUUGCCAAGAGUUGCUGUCCAGAGAUAUUUAGGAGGAAGUGGGACUUUAUUGCCUGAAAAAAAUUAGCAAAGCAGUAAUUGUGCUAUUGAGGGACUGUGUGUGUGUGUGUGUGUGUGUGUUCGUGUUCCCUUUCAGCAAAACAGGAGGAAAGGGAAUUUGGAAAUGUAUACUUUGUGUCCUAUCAUAUAUUGUAAAAGUCCCCAAAACAGAUAGAAUAAACGGGGCCAUGGUGUGAAUUAUGUAGUUUUGGAAUACAUACUUGAGUAAAGUAAAAUUGUCAGUGGUGUUUACUGCUCCUGAGGCUUUGUUCUCUUCAUUAUCAUAUUAUAUUAUGGGAAAUCAGAUGGGAUCACAGUCUGUUUUAACUGGAGGGAAAAUUAAUUAGCUUAAUAACAUGUCUUACUACAGUACUGUGGUUAAGUCUGUGAGCACCCCAAUUAUAAGUAGAAGGGUGUAUAAUUUAGUUGUAUGAAUGAUGCAAGACUGUUCGUUAAAAAAAUCAUACUAGAAAUUGAGAACAUGUGAGUAUUUUGGAUAAAUUGGAAAGUCUUCAUAGAUCAUAAGCAAACUAAGACUUUAUUUUCCGUUUUCUGUUACUUUUAUUAUGUACUGAUAUUAACAGCCUUAAUGUUAAAACAUUUGACUGUGGAGUUUCCUCUGCUGAAUUUCUUUUUGAACAUUGGCUAAUGAGCAGAAGAUUCAUGCAAAUUUUUAAUUACAGAUUCAGUGGAUGUUACAGCUAAAGCCCAGAAAGAACAAGAAAAUUAAUGAAAUGCACCCAUUUUAGACUUGUUCAGUUCAAUUAAACAAGUAUGUGUUAAGAGCCUGCUAUGGGUGUAGCACUCUAUAAUGUGGGAUUUAAAGGUAAACAUCCCUCCCUGACCAAAAAAGUUGAGUACUUUUCAAUGGGAUCCCUUAAUUGGGAGGGAUUUUGGACCACAAAAUAAUCUCUAGGGUGCCGUUCAACUCUCAGAUUACAUAAUUGUGUUAGAAGGGAAGUAAUUUGUUAGUUCCGGGAGAACUUUUAUGUUCUCAAUAGAAGUGCCAGAAACUGGACGUAUUAGCUGCCACACAUUGUGGGAAUGUGAAAUUCAAACUCAAUAGGACAUUCAACCCAAUUUUAUUUUUUAAUGGGAACCAAUGACUUUAAUCAAGAUAGAAUAGUUUACAGAAUAUUAUUAGCAUGAAUAUAAUAGUAAUGUAAGUAUAAGGGGACCCUAGUUAAUAAAUUUGAUUUACCAGUAUCGGGAAACAUACAUACAAUGUAAAGAGAAAGAGAUGGAAAAUAUUAGCAGAUAAUAGACGGAAUCAAACCUUGUAACAUUCUGUUUUUUCAGCCCCAGAAGAUUUUAUUUAUAUGCCAGCAGUGAUAGCUGAAACACUGAUCCAGGUUAGGAUGUAUGAACAUAUUCAGCAAGGUUAUGGAGCCAGUUUAUUGAGAUACUGUUAGAAAGGAGACAUAUGUAGGGAGCUUAAAGUCUAGAGGAAGAGACAGAAGAACAGGCCCAACAGCAUGAAGAGAAUGCGUUUCCUUUACUUCAGACCUCGGGCUGCUUUUCCUGUUAAUAAACAAGAAUCAAUAGGAAAAUGGGGGGGGUGCCUGGGGGGCUCAAUCGUUAAGCGUCUGCCUUCGGCCUAGGUCAUGAUCCCAGGGUCCUGGGAUCAAUCCCCGCAUCAGGCCCCAUGCUCCAGGCUCCACGGGGAGCCUGGUUCUCCCUCUCCCACUCCCCCUGCUUGUGUUCCCUCUCGCUGUGUCUCUUUCUGUCAAAUAAAUAAAUAAAUACAUAAUCUUAAAAAAAAAAUAGGAAAAUCCCCCCACUUCAAAGUUCUACUGAUUAUUAUUGACAUUUUGAUAAAUUAAAACCUUUAAGUUUGGGGCAUUCAUGAUAACUAAUGUAUUUAUUACAGUACUUUGAACCGACUGUUAAUAGUAGGUAGUCUCUUACCCAACCUCCACUUAAACCAACUUGGUACACUGAAUGCUGUUGUUACUCUGGGAGCUACUGGGUUUCAUAUACCCCCCAACCAUGAGGCCUCCCGACCAAUUGCGCACUUAACAAAGAAUCAGUUGUCUUUAUUCCUAUAUUUGUUUAUGUUCAUCAUACUUGUAAUUAUGCGGUGUAAUUAAAUAUGAUGUAAGUCCAUGAAAUUUGAGUUCAAAAAGAAUGGUUUUGUGAGAAGUAUUCUAAAUGCUUUGGAAUGACUCAAUAAUUUCAAGUCAUUAAAAGAAAUUACUGCUCGGGGGGCCUGGGUGGCUCAGUCGUUAAGUGUCUUCCUUCGGCUCAGGUCAUGAUCCCAGGGUCCUGGGAUCGAGCCCCGCAUCGGGCUCUCUGCUCGGCCAGGAGCCUGCUUCUCCCUCUCCCACUCCCCCUGCUUGUGUUCCCUCUCUAGCUGUCUCUCUCUCUGUGUCAAAUAAAUAAAAUAAAAUAAUCUUUAAAAGAAAUUACUGCUCAAUUAUAUGGAUAAGCAAAAGAUGAAGAGGGAGUCUUAAAAGUUUAGAAAGACUCUGCACAUAGAUAAAGUGUUUUCAGGUUUUUGUUUUUCUUUAUAGAAACCUGAACUGGAGGGACGCCUGGGUGGCUCAGUCGGUUAAGUGUUCGGCUCUUGGUUUAGGCUCAGGUCAUGAUCCAGGGUUUGUGGGAUUGAACCCUGCAUUGGGCUCCACAUUCGGCAGGGAGUCUGCUGGAGGUUCUCUCCCCCUCCCUCUCUCCGUUCCCCUCCCCCUGCUUGCACAUGUGCACGCAUGUGCUUUCUCUCUCUCUCUAAAAUGAAUAAUUUUUUAAAAACAAACAAAAAAACCCUGAACUGGAAAAUAGGUCAUGCAUGAUGGGUGUGGUAUAUGAAAGACAACUCAGCGUUCAACAAUAGACCUAUACUCAAGACAAGAUCUUGGACCUACAAACAAGGAUUAGCAAAUAAAUAUACAUUUAUUUUUAAUCUGCUCUGUCUUCCAAUUAACAUUUUAUCAUACUGAAACUGGUUUCUUGAGUAAGAUUUUACUGUUCUGGAUUGGGUAAUAUGACACUCAUCUUUGUCAUAUUAUUCAACUUUGGCUCUCCGAAAGCACUUACAUUUGAGAUUUUUCCCUCUUUUCUCUUUUUUGGAGCCUCUGUGAUGGGACAGGAAGUGAAGUAUACUAGAGGUGGGCUUGCUUGUACUCUUCUACCCUCCCCAGAGUGGAGUGGGGGAGUGUAACAGGCGUCUUAGAUGAUUGAAAUGUCUAGCAGUGUGAAAUACUCUUUUAGAAAGACCAGUGACAUAGGUUGUGUACCAGAUGAUGUCGCAGUGCUUAGUGCUUAGGAAUUAAAGCUGUGCCUAGGAUCUGUUUUUACUCAAGGUAAAAAAUGAGUACUGAUAGGAUUGUCGCAGAUUUCCCUGUGUAUUAGAACUGCUUUUAAAAAGAAAGGACAAAAGUGUCCUUAAGGGUCUUAGGUUGGUUUGUUGAGCUUUUCCAUCUCUUCGCAAGGGACUGCUGCUUCUCAUUUUCUCAAUUCCUUGAGCUCACGGGGUUGGGUGGGGAGAUGAUUGACAUUGAAGAUCCUCAGGGGGCAACGACUCUGGUGGCCUGAGUGUUUGGGCCACCAGACACUUGGGCCUGAGUGUUUGGGAAGGAAGGAUGUCACUGCAGAUCGCACCUUCCCCUGGGCUCUAGAGAGGGGAGUAAAAGCACAGGUGGCAAUCCCAGAGGUGAUAACCAUGACGAAGAGCUUCCAGUAGAUCCCAGGCUGGUUGGAGAGUCUUUUCGUAACAUAACUUGGUCAUUGUCCAGUAUUACAUUGCUCUAAGAUCAUGGUGGGUGCAUUGAUCCAGUCAGUUUUCUGUCUUUCCUUCUCGGGGUGUGUGGUUUCCCUUGUGCCUACCUAAUAAUACUGGUUAGUCAGUUAGACAUUUCUCCUAUUAUCUCCUUUUCUGGCUACAUCCUGAGAUGUGAAUUCUGGUCUGAAAUCAAACUGCAGUCUCCUUCUUUUUAAAAGAUUUUUUAUUUACUUAUUUGACAAAGAGAGACACAGCAAGAGAGGGAACACAAGCAGGGGGAGUGGGAGAGGAAGAAGCAGGCUUCCCACUGAGCGAGGAGCCCGACGUGGGGCCCCAUCCCAGGACCCUGGGAUCAUGACCUGAGCCGAAGGCAGAGGCUUAACGACUGAACCACCCACGCGCCCCUGCAGUCUCCUUCUUUUCCAUUCUUUGCCCUGACCUUUCUUUUUUUUUUUGCUCUUGAGUGAUUCUCAUGUCUCAGUAAAUAAUGGUGUUGCAUAUCUACUUUGUGUGAAGCAAUCUCUAUUUUUCUUCAUAGCCUAGUACAAAAAGGAAGAGCCCUUGUUCAAGAAUACAUUAGUUUAUUCAUUUUUUGAGAGCCCUAUUAUGGACUAGUCUCUGUACAAGAUCCUGGGAAUACACAGGUAAAUAAAUCUGUGGUCCUUCAUAAAGUCAAGCUGUCUGCCUGCUGUGUAUCUGUGUCCAUCCCCUCCUGCCCGCCCAGCAGCCUCACUCCUGUGAGUGUCCUGUCUUUCCUGCUUCAUUGCCUUUUCUUCUCUACUUUAUCGUUCCCAGGACAAACAGGCUAAAGUAUUUCCCAUCUUAAAAGAAAUGCUCCCUUGCCCCAUGUUCCCUCCAGCUACUAUCCCAUUUCUCUCUUCCCCUUCACAGAAAAAUAUUUCUGUACUUGCUGUUUCCAUUUUCCCUCUUCCAAUUUCUCUUGAACUCAUUCCAUUCGGGCACUCUUCUGUGAUUCUGCUGGAGCCAGUCUUCAAGAUAACAAGUUAACAAAUCCAGUGGCCAGUCCUGAAUCCUUGUUACCUCAUCAUUCCUUACAUUCCUUUCUUUACCUUGCUUCUAGGACAUCUUUCUAGUUCUUCCCUUUCUUUCUGGUUGUUCCUUCUUAGUAUUGUGUUCCUCCUCAUUUUCCUGAAUUCUUUCAUUGCCGUGCACAAGGAUACAAUCUUUGAACUACUCCCUCACCCCAACACACGCUCACACACAUGAUCUCAUUUGGUCCCCUCUUUAAAUACCAUAUUUAUACUGAUUACUUUCAACUGUCUAUUUUUAGCCCUAAUUUCUCUCAUGAAAUCAAGACUUGAAUAUACUGCAAUCUACUCAGUGUUUCCAUUUGGAUAUCAGAUAGGCAUCUCAAACUUAAAAUACCCAAACUGAAUUCUUUUUUUUUUUUUUUUUUAAAGAUUUUAUUUGUUUGACAGAGAGAGACACAGCGAGAGAGGCAACACAGGCAGGGGGAGUGGGAGAGGGAGAAGCAGGCCUCCCGCCGAGCAGAGAGCCCGAUGUGGGGCUCGAUCCCAGGACCCUGGGACCAUGACCUGAGCUGAAGGCAGACGCUUAACGACUGAGCCACCCAGGCACCCCCCCAAACUGAAUUCUUGAUUCCAUCCACCAAAAACCAAACAGCAACAGAAACCUGCUUCUCCUACAGUUGAGCCUUUCAGUAAAGGAAAUCUCUAUGCUACCAGUUGCUCAGAUCGUCAUUUAUGGAGGACCUACCAUCAUUUAGGCAAAUGUCCAAGCCUGACAGAGAAAAGAGAAAGAGAAGCCUUUUUCUGGAUAAAGAAAGUUCUUGUCCUCAGCCUGCCUCCCCCACUCUGUCCCAAAACUGUACUUGGAGAAAGAGAAAUUCAGAGGGUCCAACCAAACCAAUGUCUGGGAGAGGAAUAAAGACACUUCUCACCCCCCAGGACUUGAAAAUGAGAAGCUCAACAGAGAACCCUACUGGUUUGGAACUUUGGAGCUGCCACCGGAACCAGGAAAAUCCUUCAAAAUUAAACUUACUUUUUAUUUCAUGAUAUUAAUACUUUGUACCAUUAAAAACUCGUACUUUAUGGCAUGUCUAAGAAAAUAUUUUAAAUACAUAAAAGAAAACCAGUUUAUUUUAAUACCUUGAACUUUAUUUAAAAUAAUCCUUGUAGCUUGAUUUUAUAAUAAAACUUAAACAUUUUUUAAACUAGAAACACAGUGCUGUGGGAGAAAGAAAUGAGGAGAUGAAUUCUUUGGUUUAAUAAGGUGCGUGUCUGGGAAGGACUUGGCAGAGGACUUGAUCAAGGGACUUGGGGAGAGGGUCUGACUGGGCAAAGAGGCCAAGGGCAGCUGAGGCAGUAGCGUAUGCAUUAGAGCCUCUGGAGAAGAGUUUGUGGGCCAUGGUGCAGAGAUAUAGAGUGUACUGAACGAUUGAUUUUUCUGGCAGAAAAUCAGAGAAUAGAAUGUAGAGUCAUUCUGUGAGUGACUUUGCAAGUGGAUGCCUGUCUUUGAGGAGAAGGAUAAAUGCUUGUUAUUUCUAGGGUUUCUGGUCAGCUCCUCUUUCCUCAGAGCAUUCUUCUCUUCUUUUUGGAGAAAUCCUCCUUUGGAGAGGAGGGAGGGCCCACUCUCCCAUCCCAAGAACUGAAUGGGCACAGUGUGUGUGCCCAUUCUCUGGUGUGCCUGUGUGGAUGCAGGACUCAGGCUCCAUUAGUUGUGGCUCAGUGCUUCCAGUCCUGAGGAGGUUGGGGGGAAGGUAGGGGGAGGGCAGUGGCUAUGUGCUUACCAGAUGUUUGUGUUUUAGAUCCAGGCUUUUGCUGCCAGCCCUGGCGUGCCAUGGUGUGGGCAUAUCUUCCAAGCCUGGCCUUUUAGUCCUUGCCACCCCACUAUUUUGAGCCUUUGAUAUUUCUUUCAGUACAGUCCCUUUGACUACAGAUGGCCAGACUUGGUUUGAGCCCUGUCUAAUGCACCUCCUGGGUAGUUUUUAAGGUAACCUCCUCACUAAUGCAGUGUACCAGAGGAAAUGUAUGUGCAGAGUCCAAAUUUUUAUUAAUUUCUUUUUCUUUUUUUAUUAAAGAUUUUAUUUAUUUGAGAGAGAGAGCCAGUGAGAGAGAGAGCACGAGCAUGAGCAGUGGGAGAGGGGCAGAGGAAUAGGGAGAAGCAGGCUCCCUUGGGGCUCAAUCCCAGGACCCUGAGAUCAUGACCUGAGCUGGAGGCAGACACUUAACUGAAUCACUGAGGAGCCUCUGUUUUUUUUCCCUGGGAGAGCUUUUUCAUUUUAUUCAUGGUGGAGGCUUUAACAUUUUUCCAUUUUUUAUGGUAAAAAUUUCUUCUUGCCAGAGUUUGUAAAAUUGAUUUUAAAUGGCCAAAGAAUAAUCCAGUCAAAUUAGAGCAAGUGUAACUAACACUGGCCUAAAUGCUGAUAUUUUUAUGAAAUGCUUACCAGCAUCGUCAUACCCUCUCUACGCUCGGUGCUUAUAGUUUCUCAUUUUAGAAUUGUCCUAAAGAAUAUUUGAGAGUGUGUGAAUUUUUAAAUAUUUUAAACCUUGUGGAUAUCAAGGACCAGAUUUUAAAAAAUGUGUUUUAAAAAAAUUUUUAAGUAAUCUCUGCCCCCAACAUGGGGCUUGAACUCGUGACCCCGAGAUUAAGAGUUGCAUGCUCCAUGGACUGAGCCAGCUAUUUAGUGCCCCCUAAAAUGUUUUUUAAUAAUAUAAGUUUAUGAAAACUAUAGGUUGUUUCUUAAAAUACACAUUAUAGUCUCCAAGUUCCAUCUUGGUCAACAAGAAUUUACGGAGUCCUUUAUAUAAAGUACUAAUCUAGAUGCAGUGACGAUUUUUAAAACUGAGGAUGUGUUUCCUAGUCUCUGGGAAGAAUACUUUUCUAAAUUGGUUAAUUUCCUUCAGUCAUUUCAGUGCAGUUGAACAAGCAGCUAUUUGUUUUAUAUGGGGGCAGAUAGAAAAAUGGAAGAGACAGGACUUAAAGUACGUGGAACAAUUAGAAAAAGUGUAGAGGCUGUGCUUUGGAGAGACUUCAUGUUGGAGACAAAACACUGAAGUCGUCAAUCUUGUGCUUUAGGAAAGGAUAGGAUGUAGGUAGGUAGGAAGGAGGGGAACGGGUAUGUAUAGAAGGCGAUCCAGCUUGGAUGUGGGUUGAUUAGGACAGGUUUUUAGGAAAGAAGUACAUUUUUAUCUGAGAUCGGAGGGUAGAUAAAAGAAAAAACCUAGAGCCCGAAUUAUAUUGAUGUGAAUUUGAGAAAACACCUUCCAGGUGGCACCAUCUUUCUGAGAAGUAAAAGAUAUAUAUACUGAAAGUGGUUUGGUCAUAGGAAUUUCAGAGGCAAGAAAAAGUCUGGCAGACUAGUAUGGUUGGGAUCCAAAGGAUAGUUUUGUAAGGUUGGAGGUUGAAUGGUCUGUAUCCUCACAAGCAGUUGUGGGCCUACUGUGUGUAGAGCACCACGGAGGAUGAACUUUAAGCAGGAAAGACCGUUUUAGAACUCUGGAAACUUAAAUUCCAUCUUCAAAAGAGAGGAUAGAAUUUAUAGUGUUUACAUUUUCUGUAUUUCCCUAUCCCUUUGCAUGUAGGAGCUGGAGAGGGGAAAGGAAACAGGAAAUGUUUCAAGGUUGGGGACUGAUUCAGGAGCAUUAUAUAAGGUCAGGGGAGUGGGAAACUAACCGAGAGUCAAUUUUUCCAUCUGUAAAGUGGGAAAAAAUGGCACCUAAUUUAUGAAGUUCUAUGAAACUUGAAUGAGGGAAGAUAAAGUCUUUCCCAGGUACUUAUUGAGUACCCAAGAAUUGUUAGCCAGUGGUACUGAGACAGGAACACUGAAGGAAUCCCAAUGGUCAACAAAUAAUUACAAUUCAGUGAGAGAAGUGUUGUGGAAAAAAAAAAAGUGUUGUGAAAGAACCCUGCCCAGAAUGCUUAAGGAAUGGAGUGACUAAUGCUGAAUAGGAAAGUUGGAAAUAGUGGGAAAGGAGUAAAUCUGGGUGUUGAAGGGUGAGUAGGAGUUUGCUGCCACUAUGUUAAUAGAGAUUAUGCAAACCUUAAAAAAAUCACAUCAGAUCCUGAUCAUAAUGGCCUAACACAGCUGCAUCAAGAUAGAUGUCAGUGUGGCAUGGGAUCCAAAAACAUAGGAAGUGGGAAAGAAAAAAUUUAAUGGAAUAAACUUUAAAAAGGAUUUAAAUGUAAUAAAUGUGGCAGUGUGAGUGUACUUUGAAAGGGCUUUAUGGAAGGAGGUAAGACCUGAGGUUAUAGAAUCUUGAAAUUUGUAAACCUGGAAGUAACCCUAGACCAAAUCUAUCCAGCCAUUUCAGUGAGAUAAGGGAACUGAAACCAAAAAGGUGUUCACAUCUGUCUACUGUGCUAUUUCUGGUAAAAUAAUGCAUAUGCAGGUAGAAAAGAACAGUUUUUUUUUUUUUCCUGGCAGAUCCACAAGAAGGAGUUAAAUAAGUGGAAAGGAAGAAAGUUGAAUAAAAAUACAUUUCUAAAGCUGACUCCCAGCGCCAGCAUUGAAAACAAAGCAGGUGGCAUGAGAGGCCGUGAUACAAUUAUAGAAGUAUAGUCGAUAGUGACUUGAGCAGCAUCUAUUGCUUAUUGUCACCAUUGGCUGUGGCUGAUCACGCAUCCCAGAGCCAGCACAUGUGUGUUGUGGGAAGAAAGCUGAAUUUAUCAGAAACAUGGAUAUUUUGGGCAAAGUUUGAAUGCCAGAGGCUUAUUUUUGAAGGCAGUUUUAUUAGUCUUCCUUCCGUUAUAAAGCUAUUUCAUGCUCACUGUAGUGAAUUUGGAAAACAUCCCCUCUUUUGAGCCCACUAGAUGGUAAGUUACCAGAGUUCUAAUGUGUCUCCCCUGCGCGGAGUUCACCUUCCCUGGUGCUUGCAUGGUGCUUUAUACAUAGCAGGUUCACAGUUGUUGGGAGGAUAAGUAACCUCCAAAUCAUUUCUUCCAAAACGUACAGAGGAAAUUCUUUAAUCAUUAUGGUUUUUGGGUUUUACAACAUUGUGACUGAUUUAAAUACAAUUUUAUAAACUGUUUUUUCACGUAUUAUAAACAUUUUUUCCCCUAAUCUGAACUCAGCAUAAACAUUCUAAUGGCUAUGUGCCCAUUGAAUGGAUGAAAGCAUUUACUUAAAUGUUCCUCUCUUGUUGUAAAUGACAUUGUUAAAUCACAUAAGAAGGUAAUAUUGGCAACCACAGUAAUUACUGUUUUAUCUUUCUGUAGUCUCAAGAAGUACACAUUUUUAAAAGUAUGACCGCCAACCAUCUUAAAGAAUUACCACUCUCCAUUUGCCACCGUCUUUCCCCAGUCCUUAUUCAUAAGAAGCACGUAUGAGAUUUAGUGAAGAGUGGUGGUAUUUUGCACUUUUUACAAAUCUCCUAAAUUUACAAAUCUCCAAAUAUCCUUAGAUAAUUGAUAGCUGGGUUUUCUUAUCUGCUAUUCAAUACAGAUUCUGUGUCUUUUGAUAUGUUGUUUUGAAGUAUCUGAAGAAAAUUGAGUCUCACGCAGAAUAUGUAGUGAAUUAUUUAGUAGAAUGUUCCUUAAUGUGGGUCUCAUGGUUUCUCAUGGUUAGAUUGAGGUCAUGCAUUUUUGGCGAUAAUAUCACAGAAGUGAUGUGUCCUUGUCAGUGCAUCAUAUCAAAAGGUACAUGAUGUCAAUGUAUCUUAUUACUGGUGAUGUUAACCUUGAUUGUUCGGUUAAGGUGAGGUCUGUCUGGUUUCUCCACUGUAACAUAGUUACAAAUCUUUUUUCUUCUGGUGUUGAGAACUUUUAAGAUUUACUUUCUUAGCAACUUUCAAAUAACUAUACAAUAGAGUAUUGUUAACUAUAGUCCCCAUGCUGUACGUUACAUCCCCAGAACUUACUUAUCUUGUAACUGAAAGUUUGUAGCUUUUGACUUUUUUCAGCCCCCCACACCCACCUCUGCCAGCCGCCACCUAUCUGUUCUCUGUUUCUGUGAGCUUAGUUUUUUUAGGUUCCACAUGUGAGCGAGAUCAUAUAGUAUUUGUUUUUGACUUAUUCCACAAAGCACAGUGCCUUCAGGGUCCAUCCAUGUUGCAAAUGGCAGGUUUCCCUUUUCUUUGGCUGAAUAAUACUCCUCUGUGUGUGUGUCACAUUUUCUUUAUCCAUUCAUCCAUCUGAUGGACACUUAGGUUGUUCCCAUGUCUUGGCUGUUGUAAAUAAUUCUGCAGUGUAUAUGGACAUGCAGAUACCUAUUUGAGAUAUGAUUUUGUUUCCUUGGGAUAUAUACCUAGAAGUGGGAUUGAUAGAUCAUAUGGCAGUUCUAUUUUUAAAUUUUUGAGAAACCACCAUACUGUUUUCCAUAGUGGCUGAACCAGUUUACAUUCUCAUCAGCAGCAUACGAAGGUUCCAUUUUUUCCACAUCCAGCACUUUUAAUCUCUUGUCAUUUUAUUUUUAUUUAUUUAUUUUUAAAGAUUUUAUUUAUUUAUUUGACAGAGACACACACAGUGAGAGAGGGAACACAAGCAGGGAGAGUGGGAGAGGGAGAAGCAGGCUUCCCGCGGAGCAGGGAGCCUGAUAUGGGAUCAUGACCUGAGCCGAAGGCAGACGCUUAACGACUGAGCCACCCAGGGGCUCUUCUCUUGUCAUUUUAAUGAUAGCCAUUUUAACAGUUGUGAGGUGAUAUCUCAUUGUGGUUUUGAUUUGUAUUUCUCUGACAGUUAAUGAUGUUGAGCAUCUUUUCAUGUACCUGUUUGUCAUUUAUAGGUAAUCUUUGAAAAAAUGUUUCUUUGGUUCUUCUACCAAUUUUUUUUUUUUUUAGAUUUUUUAUUUAUUUGAGAGAGAGUGCAUAAGCAGGGGGUGCAGGGGCAGAAGACGAGGGAGAAGCAGACUCCCCACUGAGCAGGGAACCCGUUACAGGGCUUGAUCCCAGGACCUCAGGAUCACGACCUGAGCCGAAGGCAGACGCCCAACUGAUUGAGCCACCCAGGCGCCCCUCUUCUGCCCAUUUUUAAAUCACAUCGGUUUUCUUUCUGUUUUUGUUGAAUUGUAUGAGUUCCUUGUAUAUUUGGAAUAUUAUCCUUAUCAGACAUACAAUUUGCAAAUAUUUUCUCCCAUUUGGUAGGUUGCUUUUUCAUUUUAUUGAUGGUUUCCUUUGCUGUGUGCAGGAGCUUUUUUAGUUUGAUUCAGUCCCACUUUAUCUAUCUGUCUGUCUGUAUAUAUGUCUAUCUAUCUAUCUAGUAAGCUCUACACCCAGUGUGGGGCUUGAACUCAUGACCCUGAGAUCAAGAGUCGCAUGCUCUACCGGCUGAGCCCGCCAGGUGCCCCUGUUGCCUUUGCUUUAGUGUCAAAUUAAAAAAUCAUUGCCAAGACUGAUGUUAAGGAGCUUACCCCCCGUGUUUUCUUCUAGGAGUUUUCUGAUUUCAGGUCUCACAUUAAAGUCUUUAAUUCAUUUUGAGUUGAUUUUUGUGUCUGACGUAAGGAGUGGUGCAGUUUCAUUCUUUUGCAUGGGGCUGUACAAGUCUUUCCAGCACCAUUUAUUGAAGAGACUGUCCUUUCCCUAUUAACGGAUUUUUGGCUCCUUUGUCAUAAAUUAACUGACCAUAAGUGUAUGGGUUCACUUCUGGGCUCUCUAUUCUAUCCUAUUGAUCUAUGUGUCUGUUUUGAGGCCAGUACCAUACUGUCUUGAUUACUAUAGCUUGGUAAUAUAGUUUGGAAUUAGAAGCGUGGUUUGUUCUUCUUAAGAUUGCUUUGGCUCUUCAGGGUCUUUUGUGGUUCCAUACAGAUUUUAGGAGUGUUGUUUUAUUUUUGUGAAAAGUGUCAUUUGGAAUAUUGGUAGGGAUUGCAUUGAAUUUGUAGAUUGCUUUGGGUAGUAUGGAACGUUUUAACAAUACUAAUCUUCCAUCCAUGAGCAUGGAAUAACUGUCCAUUUAUUUGUGUCUUCAGUUUCUUUCAUGUCUUAAAAUUUUCAGUGUACAUAUCUUUCACCUCCUUGGUUAAAUUUAUUCCCAGGUAUUUUAUUCUUUUUGAUGCAUUUGGAAAUGGGAUUUUUUUUUUCUUAAUUUCUUUUUCUGAUAGUUCAUUGUUAGGGUACAGAAAUGCAACUGAUAUUUUUGUAUAUGGGGUUUGUAUCCUGCAACUUGGUGUAAUCUUUAGGGUUUUCUUAUAUAUAAGAUCAUGUUAUCUGCAAAUAGUCAAAGUUUUACUUUUUCCUUUCUAACUUGGAUGCCUUUUAUUUCUUUUUCUUGCCUAGGUGCUUUGGCUAGGAUUUCCAGUACUGUGUUGAAUAAAAGUAGCAAGAGUGGACAUCUUUGUUCUGUUCCUAAUUUUGGAGGAAUAGCUUUCAGUUUUUCACCUUUGAGUAUGAUGUUAGCUGUGGGCUUGUCAUAUAUGGCCUUUAUUAUGUUGAGGUACAUCCUCUUUUUACCCACUCUGUUGAGAGUUUUGUUUUUUUU